ACUCCUACGGGAGGCAGCAGUGGGGAAUAUUGCACAAUGGGCGCAAGCCUGAUGCAGCCAUGGCCGCGUGUAUGAAGAAGGCCUUCGGGUUGUAAAGUACUUUCAGCAGUGAGGAAGGUGGGUAUGUUAAUAGCAUACUCAUUUGACGUUAGCUGCAGAAGAAGCACCGGCUAACUCCGUGCCAGCAGCCGCGGUAAUACGGAGGGUGCGAGCGUUAAUCGGAAUUACUGGGCGUAAAAGCGCAUGCAGGUGGUUUGUUAAGUCAGAUGUGAAAGCCCGGGGCUCAACCUCGGAAUUGCAUUUGAAAACUGGCAAACUAGAGUACUGUAGAGGGGGUAGAAUUUCAGGUGUAGCGGUGAAAAUGCGUAGAGAUCUGAAGGAAUACCGGUGGCGAAGGCGGCCCCCUGGACAGAUACUGACACUCAGAUGCGAAAGCGUGGGGAGCAAACAGGAUUAGAUACCCUGGUAG
rnacentral:rRNA from 1 species